GUCAAAGCUGUCAGAAGGACUGAGGGAGCGAUCUCUACGUUUCAAACUAGUUUCUAAUCUUCUGAGGAAUCUGAAAUUAUGAUCUGGUUCUUGAGCUUUUGGCAGCGUUUCUUCAGUUGUUUCCUAGAACGUAAAGAUAUUUAAAGUGCAACCUACCAGCCACACGCAAGAGUGAAGAGGACAGAUUGAUAAUUGGGCUACAAAAGAAAGUAAUGAAUGUGUGUAUUAGAAAACUGAAGAGCCGGAAACCUGAUCAAGGUUAACGAACAUUAGAUAUAUGAAUGAUUAAAAAAAACAUCGACGUUAAGUCAGGAAUAUUUGACCGCCCGUUCGUUAAUAGAGACAACAUAACUGCAUACAGGUAUUUCUGUUGUUUCCAAGGGUGGAAUAAGCGGAUUGAUGAACGAGUGCUCAUU